AGACCACCAUGGGCCCGCGAAGGUGAACCUUUGGCAAGAUCCGUUGAACCCGGGUAACUGGAAGGAAGAGCAUGUGAGUUUUCCUCGUUUAGCUCCUGAGUUUGAUAUCAUUAUACUAUUCUACUUGCCUCUCUACUUUGCCUGCAGCAAGUGAAGGGGUUGUUUCUGUUUAGUGUUGUUUUGUGAUCUAGUUGGCUCGAAUGUGAAUAUUAUUUUUGAUGGCAUGAUUCCAGUUAGAUAGAUAUAUAUCCAGUUUAAUAUACGCUAUUUUACAAGAUUACAGUUAUGUGGUCUAGGAAUGAAAUUCGGCAUCCCUACUUUGGGAAGAAGUGGGAUUGAAAUGAGGGUUGUUUUACCAUUUACUUCAAAAUGAGUAAUUUCGUGGUGUGUACAUACAUAUGCAUCGUGCUUUGGAGGAAUGGUACAAAAUUUGCCCGAUUAAAGUGCAAUAUUUAUUAGGGGGAAUGAUUAUAUAUGCUGGUAUGAAUCUUAGCCAGUAACUACAGUUAUGCAUGACUUGUAAGAAUAUUUUUUUCCCUUCUACUCAUGUUUACUGUCUUAGGGAAAUGCUAAUAUGUAUUUUAUUGUUUGAGUAUGCUACUUGAAAUGAACUAAUUGUUUGUUGCAUAUGAACUAUUCAAUUUCGGGUAAUGUUCAUCAGAUAUGUUUUCAAAUUUUGAAAUGUUCCUUUUCUUAUGUUAUCAACCUCGUUAAUUGUAUGUGCAGUUUCUUCUAAAUGACUGCUAACUAACAUAGUUUAGGGCUACUUACCUUAAUAUUGUGCUGGAAUCAUAUUGUUUUCAUAAAAAAAGAUGUUUUAGCUCGAACUAUUAAUACAAGAUUGAUUGAUUGACUGCCUAUCUGUAAUGUUGGUUUUGACUGGCUUGUUUUAGGUCAUGUUUUUAGUGAAAAUGCUUUACUUUGUGCAGUUUGUCCUAGCCAGCUUAGCUAUGUGGGGUGGUGUAAUUUAUGGUGUCUCCAGGCUUUUUAGUGGGAAGAAGAAAGACACAACUACUGAGGUAUUCUUAAUUUAUACUUAUCUUUCCUACCUUAAGUAAUGCUCUUCUGCUCAUAGUUCCGAUAAUCCACGAAAUAUUUAACUAAUAUCAGUUAAUCAGGGUAUUUAGAAGCAUAAGGAAUGAUAUGCGUUUUCCUUUUCUUUUGAAGUGCUAUCUAUUGUAUACAUGCUAUAUUAUUUUAGUGUAGUGUCAAGAUAUUGAACUACCUAUUUGUCAUCAGCAUAUGCUUUUUACCAAUAAAUUACUAUCAAAGGUAGUGCUUCUAUGUAUAUAAUCACACAAUGACAAAAUUAGACAAGAAUCAAAGAUUGUAAGGAUAAAUUGUCUCUAUGUAUCUAAUCACGCCAGGACAAAGUACAAGGAUAAAUUGUCUGUUUGGAUGGAUGGUCAUGUUAAAUGGAUAUACAAUCAUGUUCCACUUUCAUGAUCUGGGUAACAUAUACAUGCACAUAUUACUGGAAAAUUAAGCAAUACUUUUUCCAAAUAAAUUUUGAAUCAUAUCUGGCCGAAGCCCUUCAGUAGGGUUUCUAUGUGAUCAGAUUCUCCACUCACCACAAAUUAUAGAGCUAAUAUUUUUAUUUCCAGUAAAUUAUCUAUAUCUUGGAGAACUCAGUACUUCUGUUUACAUGGUGGAAUUUUGUUUUUCAUGUUCGAUAUGGUGCAUUUGUUGCUGCUACCAUCCUUGCACACAUUUGAAUGGGUAGGUAGUGAUUUUUUUGCAAAUGUGUGGGAUGCAUUUCUCUUGAUCCAUUUAGUCCUUAGCUUUGCUUUCACGUGUGCAUGUCUUACUAUUUAGUCGAGAAAUAUCAUAUUCUUGUUACCAUGAUACUACUACAGUGUCUUUGUCUGCCUGACUGCUACCUGGAUGGUUUUUUAUCUGCUGCUGUAGUUGCAAAUUUUAUUGUCAUGUCAACAUGUAAACUGUUAAGCUCGUAUAUUUUUGUCAGCACAAAACUUACUACAUCCAAUUGUAAUAAUCUUUUGCAGGCGGUGCCAUCACCAGCACAGUAGGAUUUGUCAGAGGCUUCAAGCUGCAGGCAUGCAACUGUGAAAUAAAAGUAAUCAUCUUUAAAUUUCUGUUGCUAAUGGCAAUCUGUGUCGGCUAGGUGGGGGAUUUUUGUAAGAGGCAAGAUGUUGUGGAGCCACAAUUGUCAACCAGCAUGAAUAAUCUUAUCGCAGUGGAACUUUGUUUGCGAAACUACAAUCCACUUGCUGUUUUGCCAUCCACAUCAUUUCAUGUUUUGUAUCGGUGCAGUUGAUAAUGAGCUUGACGUGCUCUAAAUCAAUUCAAUUAAGUUGAGUUUUGAAGACCAUGUCAAUGCCUAUCUUUACAUGUUUUUUACCGGAGUAG
rnacentral:lncRNA from 1 species